ACAUACGACCAUAGCUCGUGGAGAACUGAGGGUCCCGUCCGCUCCCCUGAACAUAAACCGCGAAGCGCCGGACUAGUAGUUGGGUCGGUGACGACCAGCGAAUCCCCGGUGUUGUAUGUC
rnacentral:rRNA from 1 species